rnacentral:rRNA from 1 species
GGAGGGGGCAAGCGUUAUUCGGGAAUCAUUGGGGCGUAAAGCGCAGGUAGGCGGCCUCGUAUGUCCUAUGUGAAAGCCCUCGGGCUCAACUGAGGAAUUGCAUCGGAAACUGCGGAGCUUGAGUCCGGGAGAGGGAAGCGGAAUUCCCAGUGUAGCGGUGAAAUGCGUAGAUAUUGGGAGGAACACCAGUGGCGAAGGCGGCUUCCUGGACCGGUACUGACGCUGAGCUGCGAAAGCCAGGGGAGCGAACGGGAUUAGAUACCCCGGUAGUCCUGGCUGUAAACGAUGAGCACUUGGUGUGGCGGGUAUCGACCCCUGCCGUGCCGAAGCUAACGCAUUAAGUGCUCCGCCUGGGGAGUACGGUCGCAAGGCUG